GUUCUGGCUGCCUUCACUUAGCUAUCAGAUCUUUGGGCUCCUUUCCAGACAAACUGAUUGCCUACUGGCAUUGGAAGAGUGCAUCUCUUUUCUUCCUUUGUUUGGAUAACAUCAUCCCCCCCUCCUUUGCUCCCCUCUAUCCAUCCUUCUCUCCCUCCCCCUCCACUCUCACACAAGUCAGCUUUCCUCUGACUAAUGUUCUCUCCUCAAAGAGAAGCAAGUCUGCAAAUCUCAUUAUUUCACAAUGUUUUCCACUAAGAGUAACCAACUGGUUGUGCAAUCUAUACUUCAGAGCUUGCCGAGCUUUGCAAAUCUGCCAGAAGAGAAAUCAUGACUUCCUCUCUCAACAAGUCACUAUUAGUGUAAGUAAUAAAGAGAAUAGGCAGGGGUGGUGGUGACAGUAUUUCACCAAUAGGAUUCUCCCAAGAAAAUCCAACAGACCUUAUUUCCUAGAGUUUGUUUAUUACUCAAAGGAAUCUGUAGAGAAUCUUAGUCAACUUCAUCCAGCAUCUCCACACC
rnacentral:lncRNA from 1 species